GGCUAGGUAGCUCAAUAGGUAGAGCACCUGGUCUAUAUCCAGAAGGCCUGGGUUCAAUCCCCAGUCUGGCCA